rnacentral:rRNA from 1 species
UACGGAGGAUGCAAGCGUUAUCCGGAAUCAUUGGGCGUAAAGGGUCCGCAGGUGGCACAUCAAGUCUGCUGUCAAAGGUCGGAGCUUAACUCCGGGAAGGCAGUGGAAACUGUAGAGCUAGAGUAUGGUAGGGGUAGAGGGAAUUCCCAGUGUAGCGGUGAAAUGCGUAGAGAUUGGGAAGAACACCAGUGGCGAAAGCGCUCUACUGGGCCAUAACUGACACUGAGGGACGAAAGCUAGGGUAGCGAAUGGG